AUUUAUAUAGUUUAAAUAAAACAUUACAUUUUCACUGUAAAAAUAAAAAAAUACUUUUUAUAAAUA
rnacentral:tRNA from 1 species